rnacentral:rRNA from 1 species
UACGUAGGCAGCGAGCGUUGUUCGGAGUUACUGGGCGUAAAGGGCGCGUAGGCGGCUUUAUAAGUCGGGGGUGAAAGCCUGUGGCUCAACCACAGAAUUGCCUUCGAUACUGUAGAGCUUGAGACCGGAAGAGGUAAGUGGAACUGCGAGUGUAGAGGUGAAAUUCGUAGAUAUUCGCAAGAACACCAGUGGCGAAGGCGGCUUACUGGUCCGGUUCUGACGCUGAGGCGCGAAAGCGUGGGGAGCAAACAGG